rnacentral:rRNA from 1 species
UACGUAGGUGUCGAGCGUUGUCCGGAUUUACUGGGCGUAAAGGGAGCGUAGGCGGACUUUUAAGUGAGAUGUGAAAUACUCGGGCUCAACUUGAGUGCUGCAUUUCAAACUGGAAGUCUAGAGUGCAGGAGAGGAGAAUGGAAUUCCUAGUGUAGCGGUGAAAUGCGUAGAGAUUAGGAAGAACACCAGUGGCGAAGGCGAUUCUCUGGACUGUGACUGACGCUGAGGCUCGAAAGCGUGGGGAGCAAACAGG